rnacentral:rRNA from 1 species
GUUUUAUAGAAAAAUAAUUUUAAGUCAAAUCUGCUCAAUGAAAAUUUAAAUAGCUGCAGUAUAAUUGACUGUACAAAGGUAGCAUAAUAAUUAGUUUUUUAAUUGAAAACUAGAAUGAAAGAUUUAAUGAAAUAAAUACUGUCUCAAAUUUAUUAAAUAAAAUUUUUAUUUAAAUUAAAAAAUUUAAAUAAAUUUAAAAGACGAGAAGACCCUACAGAAUUUUUAUAAUUAUUAAAAUUAAUUUUUUAAUUAAUUAUUUUAAUUGGGGUAAUUUUAAAAUUUAAUUAAUUUUUAAUUUAAUUAACAUUUAUUUUUGAAUAAUUAAUCCUUUUUUAAAUUAAUUAAAUUUAAAUUACCUUAGGGAUAACAGCAUAAUUUUUUUAAAAAGUUCAAAUUUAUAAAAAAGUUUAU